GCUAAAAAUAGCAUUGGCGAGAAAAUAGAAGAAGAACACGCAGAGAAAACUUGGAUUUUGAAACAAAACGAAACUGACUUUGAUUCAAAAAAUUCUUUUUUUCGAUUCAAUCUCCUGUUUUCUUUGAAUUUAUGAAUUAUGGUCUUGUUUCAAAUAAAUAAUUUUUGAAAGAAAGAAUUAAUUUUUUGAAUCGAAUAGUUUUGGACUUCGAUUUUAAACAAAUUCUUUGAUUCAAAAGACAUUUGUACAAUUGCAUAUUUAUUUGGAAACAAAGUGAAUUUUUUUUCAACCAAAGAAAAAUGUAUUCAAUGCAAAGGAAUAAUUUCUUAAAAUAAAAACUUCAAGCUUUGAAGGUUUUUUGCAUUGAGUAAGAAGAAUUUAAAACGAAAAAUCGGUUUGGCUAGUCGUGUGAAAAUGUGGAUCAGAGUUAGCUUAGUUAGGAGGAUUCAGGAUAAAGUAUGGUAAGUUUAUGUUAAUUAAAGAAUGAAUAUUAAAGAUUUUCAAUAAGUGCAUGAAAUUUUACAGGACCACGGCCGAUAGAUAGUCCCUGGAUGCCUCAACCGAGGUGACACCGCUCCAAUCCAGCGAUCAGGUCCACGAAAAUUUAAACCGGAUGAUUCGAUUAAAGUGAACCAGUGUGUGACCCAGUGUUUCAUUUAUUUGUGAAUAAAAAUAAAUUUUAAAUUUUAAAUCCUUCCUUUUAAUUAUUUGAAAUUCCUAAUAGGAAUUUCAAAACAACAGAAAAUAAUGCUUCCAAUUGGAAUAAAUAGAAAAUGGUUCAAUGAAUAAAUGCCUUUAAAUCUAAAUUAAAUUACCUUGUGGCAAAAGAAAGCAACUUUGAAUCAAAAGAAACUGUUUUUUGUUUCAAAGUAUCAAUAUUUUGAAUCAAAGAUUUUUCGAAAGAAAAAUUCUUUGAAACAAACGAAAAUGCAUUUGAAACAAAGAAAUUUUUAUUCAUCCCAAAAUCAAAGGAUAUUUUCCUUUGUUUGUAACUGAUAGAAAAGCAGCGGCUAGACUAGCCAAGGCAAGGUACUUGAAGAGUACGGAACCUCAGGGCCGGCUGGCUACUGGGUAACCAAGGACUUACGGAUAAAAUACAGAAAUCGGAAAUUUCAUGUUUCUAUGUUUGCUUUUAUUAAUGUUUUUAUGUAGCGUGUUGUCUGUGUGUACAAUAAACAAUGUCUGUCUGUAAUGUGUGGCGUGUAAAUUCUCACUAACCGUGGUUGUGCUGCUGGUGGUCUUGCGUCGCGACGUCGUAGUUCCGGAAAUCCCGUUCCGGAAGCAGGAGGGCCGUCGAUAUAUAGGCGGAUCGACGGAGUGCCGAAACUGUCGGCGCCAGCGGGCGUUGCUGGACUCAGUUAAUGCAGGCGUCUUCCUUCUUUGGCGUUUAAUCGGCCUGCCCACGAGAGUGCCCCGUAUCCGGACAGGCCGAGAAGGGAAGUCCUCCUUGGAAGUUAGGGUUCCUUAGAACCCGAGGACGAUGAUGAUGGUCUUUUACGGUUAGGCGCGAGACCACAAGGGAUCUGCGGGCCGAGCCGUGAGGAAGCCAACCGGUGUUUCCGGGCGAAUUCCGUGGAAUUUCACGAACACUAAACACAACACGGACUUUACUCACGGACGCCUGGUACAGAAGAGAGCCAAUUUUCCUGAAGCAAGCUUCCUUUUCGCCUUCCAUGUUCUCUUUUUCUUUCCUCCUUUUCCUCCUCUGUGAAUUGACAGCAGCCAGCAGUAAAAUGUAGCCUACUGUGGUGCUAUCUUGUUGUGAGACUCGACAAGGAACAUGAAUUUUCUAGAGCUAAAUAUACAAUACUACAAAAAUGAAAACAAAAAUCAAACGAUUUGUAACCAACCGGUUACACUAUCCACCACUCCAAUGAAAAAAUGUGAAAAUACGAAGUGUUUUGCAUUUUUUUUUUGUUUCCAGAACAAUCCAUCGCAUUUAUCGAAUUGUGGCAGACAUAUUACAUUUAAAACGACAAAGCAUAAUUAAAUUUUUCAUAUUUGCAAUGCAUCUUAAGGGCUAAACAUGCAUAAAAUAAUAAAUAAAAACAAACUUCAAUUCAACGUGCACUGAAAAUUAAAAUUACUUUAAGACUAUGGUGAAUAAAUAAUUAAAUAAAUAAAUAAUAUACAAGCCAAAAUUUAAAUAAACGUGCACGAAUCAUUAAAAGUAUCUUACAACUAGAGAAUAAUAAAUUAACAUGAAUAUCACAGAUCAUAUUUGAAAACGCACAUUAAAUAAAAAUCCAAACGCGGUAAUAAAUAACACACAACAGGUUAAAUUCAUUUAAACGUGCAUCACAAAUAUAAUCUAAAAUUAUUCACCUAACUUAUAUCACUAUUGUAAUUACAUGCACAAUCAAACUUUCAAUUUCCACUUUAUUUGUUUCACCAAAAUCAACAUAUUUUUAAUUCAACAAGCACUAGUUAAAAAAAACAAUUUAAAAUAAACUAAAAUACUUAUCACUAUGUUGCGCAACACUUAAACGAUCGAUCGUACUAAACUGUUACAACAAAAAUAUUUAAAUUAAUAAUUAAUUACAGUACCCUAUAAAUAAUAAGUAUAUACAGUACCCUAUUUGUGAUUUAGAUCACUUUCAAAAUGGUCAUCACGAGCGGGCAAAUAGGUGGCGGGCAAUAUCAUGAUCGAUGAUCAUGAUCAUGACAGAUCAUCAGAUGUCAUAUCGAAUUGUCACAACAUAAUGUUGUUUAUUUAUGUUUUAUUUUGUCGUAAAAAGUACGUUCUUCUUAGGAUGAUCACCAAUUUGUUGCUCCACCGAACAGUGAUCGAAUGCAGCAUGCAUCGAUAUGCUAUGAUUGACGAUCAUCGUACGAAUUGGGAGAAAUUGUUUAACCGAUUCUGUGCUGCUACAGUGUCAUCUUUUCAGCAAAAAGGGACAUGCAGCGAAUCGAAAAUAGAUCCCAGGGACACCGUAUCAAAUAUCUUCCAGCGAAAGAUGAAAUAGAGCUGGCCAGGCUCAAUGGGCAAUCCCUUCGCGCGCACAUCACUAACCGCAGCACCAUGAAAGAGCCACAACGGGUUUCCCCUUCCAUCGUCGUUGGAUAACUGUGCCGCUAUGGAUACCCUGAUUUAUCAAGAGGUUUGUUCCAAUCAAUUAUAAUUUUGAAUAAGGAUUUGUGUUUUUUUUAUUUCCACCCACAAGUUAACGACUGGCAAGUUCUCUCAACUCCAGUCUAUUAAGUGGGUGUUUAAAAAUUCUACAUUUCAACUUUCAACUCAUUUGCUCUAUUUGUUCUUUUCUCUUCCAGGUACCCAACUGAGUCGGACGAGCCGGUUCAACGAAGGACAAAGCUCGCCGGUUUCCAUGGAUACCGGAUAGCAUCAUGGAAUCCUUUCGAAACCUUCCCUAGAGGAAUCAGUCAUUCCAAGCCCAAUAAGUAACUUUAGGAAUUUAAAAAGAACAAACAGAUUAUCACAAAUUUCAAUAAAUAACAUCGAAUUAAAUUAAACAUUCAUAUCACAAUUUAAAUUAUCCGUAUCACAUUUCCAUAUCACAGAUCCAAUUUCUAGCCGUUUUGAAACUAAGCCGGGUCCCUGCCAAAAUUAUGUUUUUAUGUUUUUGCGAACUUUAGAAGAAUUAAACUGAUCAAUUAAGGGAUUCAAACGAGCAUCAACCAAAUGUUCCACGAUUCGCAUCAUGCUUUCUUCCACUUUUUUGUAAAUUUCAGGUUCUCUUGUUCGGUAUCCGGAAGUACUAGAAUCGUAAUCUUCUUUCCGGAUGUUCGGAGGUUUGUGUUUCCAGUAACAUCCAUCAAUCUCAAAUCCUGAUAUUGGAUUGGAUUUUUGAAGAUUUGAGUGGUUUUCAAUAGAAGGGGCAUAUUCAGCACAGGAAUCUGAACUUAUGUUAGAAAGAGUGGAAUUCGAUUCUAUCAAUGUUGGUUCUGAAUUUUCAUUACAUGGUUUAUAAUUACGACAUUCACAAGUACCGAUGAUUGGCAGGUGUCUAGUUCCUGCAUCUCUACAUAAGAUCUGAAGUUCUUGUUGUAAAGCUUGCAUGAACUUCCGACUUCUUACCAAAUCGAUCGGCCUCAGUUUUCCCUGGUUCAUCAUCGCUCUCCAUAUGGCCAGUGAAGAUUCCAAAUCGGCAGCUAUCGACUCAACUGGGUAAUUAGGAUGCAAUGGCUUUACCGGACACGGCAUCUCCGCAGACUCAUCACUAUCCGAAUCAUCAGCGUCGUAGUCCUCCAACUGGAACUCCACUGGUUCAAAUUUCACUCUUAAUCGUUUUCGUUUAGUCAUGUUUGUUUUGAUUGGAUACUAUAGUAUGUGAUAUGUGAUAUAUGUGAUUAGUGACAACUAUCAUUUGUUGGAAAAAUACGGGUGUGGGUGAAAAGUGUUGCCAUAGCAUUUAAAAUUAAAAUCAUUAUGCAAAACUAAAUUAUGCUUUUUAAAUACUUUGAACAUACAUCAUAAACUUUAACAAAACACGCGAACAACCAAAACCAUCGAAUUCUUCGGUGGGAAAAAUGGUUUUAGAAACGGAUUAAAGUCCUUCUUCUGGUCGGGACCUUGUACAAACACAAAACAUCGUAUCAAGCACUUUUUUACACUAAAUUGAUGGGUGUACGGCGACAGCCAUUCGUGGAUCGCACGAAUCCCUGCCACCUCCCGUCAGAAAAAAUCCUUAGAUUUUUGUAUUCUACGCGGUCGUCUCUUGGUUACCUUUCGCGGACUUUUAGUUGGGCGCCAUUUGUUACUGAUAGAAAAGCAGCGGCUAGACUAGCCAAGGCAAGGUACUUGAAGAGUACGGAACCUCAGGGCCGGCUGGCUACUGGGUAACCAAGGACUUACGGAUAAAAUACAGAAAUCGGAAAUUUCAUGUUUCUAUGUUUGCUUUUAUUAAUGUUUUUAUGUAGCGUGUUGUCUGUGUGUACAAUAAACAAUGUCUGUCUGUAAUGUGUGGCGUGUAAAUUCUCACUAACCGUGGUUGUGCUGCUGGUGGUCUUGCGUCGCGACGUCGUAGUUCCGGAAAUCCCGUUCCGGAAGCAGGAGGGCCGCCGAUAUAUAGGCGGAUCGACGGAGUGCCGAAACUGUCGGCGCCAGCGGGCGUUGCUGGACUCAGUUAAUGCAGGCGUCUUCCUUCUUUGGCGUUUAAUCGGCCUGCCCACGAGAGUGCCCCGUAUCCGGACAGGCCGAGAAGGGAAGUCCUCCUUGGAAGUUAGGGUUCCUUAGAACCCGAGGACGAUGAUGAUGGUCUUUUACGGUUAGGCGCGAGACCACAAGGGAUCUGCGGGCCGAGCCGUGAGGAAGCCAACCGGUGUUUCCGGGCGAAUUCCGUGGAAUUUCACGAACACUAAACACAACACGGACUUUACUCACGGACGCCUGGUACAGAAGAGAGCCAAUUUUCCUGAAGCAAGCUUCCUUUUCGCCUUCCAUGUUCUCUUUUUCUUUCCUCCUUUUCCUCCUCUGUGAAUUGACAGCAGCCAGCAGUAAAAUGUAGCCUACUGUGGUGCUAUCUUGUUGUGAGACUCGACAAGGAACAUGAAUUUUCUAGAGCUAAAUAUACAAUACUACAAAAAUGAAAACAAAAAUCAAACGAUUUGUAACCAACCGGUUACAUGUUUUCGCUGCACUUUCCUUUGAAAUAAAAAAUCUUUUCGCUGCGUGAUCCACCGCGACUAUUUAGUUUAUCUAUUGUGAUAUUACCUUGCAUUACUACUUAUACUUUGCUAUACUACUUGACACCCCAUGCAGUAUCGGUUGAAGUUCAGUAGCCUACCGGGAGUACUGCGAGCACACACAUAUCUAGAUAGGACCUCCAAGAGCAAACUAAGUUCCCUUGAACAGCAUUUGCCUAUGUAUGCCAGAUUACCUCACGACCGGGAUUCGAUUUCAUAACCGUUGGUUUAGAAGAGAAGACGCUAUCCUCUAUGUUAUGGUCUGUUGGCUUAGGCUCACUACUAUUCAAGCCUUUAUAAAGGAUAACCUUGGCCGAUUCAUUCGAAAAUCGUUUUCUACGUCUUUGUCCAACUGUCUAAGAUUUAUUAAGGGCCUAACUUCUACUAAAUUAACUUUGGAGGAUGGUCAAUAAAACUUCAUUUUUUAAUU